rnacentral:tRNA from 2 species
AGCAGUUUAGCCAAGCGGUAAGGCAACGGACUCUGACCCCGUCAUUCAUAGGUUCGAUCCCUAUAACUGCUGCCA